rnacentral:rRNA from 1 species
AAAGUUUUGUUUAGUUAACAUUCGAUCUCGUAAAAGAUGGUGAAAUUUUGUUGAUAAGGUGAAAUUUUUAAUUUAAGGGAAAUUCUUAAGAAAUCUGUUGAGACUAAAAAAUUUAGGUAAAAAACCAGGAUUAGAUACCCUGUUAUUCUAAAUAAUAGUUUAAAUAGGGUAGUAAAAGUUGUUCUUCAAACCCAAAGAUUUUGGCGGCAUCUUAUCCUAAUAGAGGAGCUUGUCCUAUAAUUGAUAGUCCCCAUUUUAUCUUACCCUUUUUUGUUAAGCUUGUAUACCGCCGUUGUCAGAUUACUUUAAAAGAACGUUUUCAGGAAAAAUAUUUUUCUUACUUCAGGUCAAGGUGCAGUUUAUAAAAGGGCAGUGAUGAGCUACAAUUUUUAAUAGAAAUACGGAUUUUAGGCUUAAAACUCAGGUGAAGGUGGAUUUAUUAGUAAAUUUACUUAAGUACAGUAAGUUGAAUAAGGCAAUAGGAUGUGCACAUAUCGCCCGUCACUCUCUUCUCAAGAGGAGAUAAGUCGUAACAAAGUA